GGUCUUUGGGCUUGCAGUCAACUAAGGGAUUAUUUUUAGAAGGAGGUAAUGGCACCCCACUCCAGUACUCUUGCCUGGAAAAUCCCAUGGAUGGAGGAACCUGGUAGGCUGCAGUCCAUGGGGUCGCUAAGAGUCGGAUAAGACUGAGCGACUUCACUUUCACUUUUCACUUUCAUGCAUUGGAGAAGGAAAUGGCAACCCACUCCAGUGUUCUUGCCUGGAGAACCCCAGGGACGGGAGCCUGGUGGGCUGCUGUCUAUGGGGUCGCACAGAGUCGGACACGACUGAAGUAACUUAGCAGCAGCAGUGGGCUAGCACCAGCUGGCAAACCUCCCCCGAGUCUAAGGAUCUUUCCUUUCCUUCUGGGAGCUGCGUAUACAAGUUUUCAGUAUAUCUACAUGUUGAAACAGACACAGAGCUGGAAGAUGGGAAGCGGAUCAGAAAUGCCCUAGGUUGGUUGCAGUUGUACCUAUCAACCAUUACCCAGCUCUUACUCCAGGACUCCGAACACUUUUUGUGGAACAGACUUUGCUGUGUCCGGUCCCUGGUGCCACCAUCCUCUGCACAGCAUCCUGUACCUGUAGAUUCUGCAGAAGCUCCUGCUUCAUUUCCUGCUGGAAUGGAAUGAUUCAGGAUCCCCCACUGUCCAUCAUCCCUGAGGGGGAGCAGUACUGAAGAAGAGCUUCUCAU
ensembl:lncRNA